rnacentral:rRNA from 1 species
CGAUAGUGUAUAUUAGAGUUGUUGCUGUUAAAACGCUCGUAGUUGGAUUCGGAUCGGUGCUGUAUAAGGGCCCCAAGAGGGUGGAUGGCUGCUUCUAGGAGCGAUGGCGCCGCACUCUUUGGGGAUAAACCCUUGUACGCCAGGCACUGUAUCAAGACACAUGGAAACGAUCUCCUGCGGAAGCCUACUUUACUGUACGGUGAAAGCAACAACGCAUCAAGAAUGUGUAUACGGAGCGUCCAUGGUUGUUACUGUGAACAAAUCAGCGUGACCAAAGCAACCGACUUGUUCGGCUGCAUGUCAUAGCAUGGCACAACAACACAUUCGACCUUCGGUCAGUGAUUUGUUAGUCUUGUUCGUACCCUACUGGGGCGAAUCCAGGAUGGCGUUCUCGCUUUGCCUGUGUUCUAACUUCGGUUGUUUUCGUCUUGCCAUUGUUGGGUAACCCGACUCCGACCGGGACUCAAGAGAGCUUGACGGUGGGAGUACGUAUUGC